UACGUAGGGGGCUAGCGUUGUCCGGAUUUAUUGGGCGUAAAGAGCGUGUAGGCGGCCAGGUAGGUCUGCUGUGAAAACUCGAGGCUCAACCUCGAGACGUCGGCGGAAACCAUCUGGCUAGAGUCCGGAAGAGGAGAGUGGAAUUCCUGGUGUAGCGGUGAAAUGCGUAGAUAUCGGGAGGAACACCGGUGGCGAAGGCGACUUUCUGGCCUGUUCUUGACGCUGAGGCGCGAAAGCUAGGGGAGCAAACGGG
rnacentral:rRNA from 1 species